CUGCUUCCCCCCGGGGGGCGAGCCCGCGUGCUCCGUCCCGAGGGGAGCGGAGUUUAGGUGGCGCGGCCGGGAGGCGCCGCGGAGCCCCCAGUUAGGGCUCCAGCCGUUAAACGUCUCUCCCGGGGCUCCCGCCGGCGGCGGCUGGGCCCAGCCGGCGUGCAGCGCGGGGUGGGCGGGGUGGGCGGGGUGGAGGGGUGCAGGCUGGCGCUGGGCCCGGCCUCCGCCGGUGGGAGCCCCGGCUUCGGUGUGCGAGCACCACACGAGGCCAUCCGCGCAAACUGAGUUGUAUUGCUCUUUUUUUUCCCCCCUACCCAGAAAAUGAAACACAGCCGCCAGCGGCUGGACGAAAGCACCUGAUAACUCCUUUCUCCUCUGAGGAGAGUUUCAACCGACUUCAGCUUGAGUGAUCCAGGGAGAAGUACCUCAGUUCUUUGCCCUCACAGGAUAGCCAAACUGCUAGCUUCCGCCUGGACAGUUCUAGAAGACGCCAGGCCAACGGUUCUGUCCUAAACCCUCUCCUGGCUGCCUUCGUCCUAUGUUCUCUGAGACCUCGAACCAAAGACAGCCCGCGUCGGCCCUGGUCACAGCUGAGCUGGCCUGCCGGAUGUAAUGUGACCGGUCUGUCUGGCCAGACCGAGUGGCUCGUCAUGUCAUCUGGCGUCGGUUACUCAGAAGACAAAAGGGAUUUUCAAGAUGGCUGAGAGAAUGUACCUUUGGCUUCUUCACCACUGACAGUGCUCUGAACUGACAAAGGGCCCCCAGUGAAGCCAGGCAUCACCCAGCUCCCUGACUGUAGGAGCAGCUUCCCCGAGUGGCCCUGGUGGAGACUGGGGAGGAACGGGGCUGGAAGAGUACCCAGUGCAGAGCCAGAGGUCAGCGCGCCCUGUCUCAUAACAAAACAAAACAAGCCGAGAUCCCCACAGGGCUCUUUUGGGGAAGCGGCGUCAUCACGCCUCAGGAUGUGUGAGCUCAGGAACAUUUUCCUUGGAAUAAACUGUGUCCUCUGGGCCUUCCUAAUGAGCCCUUUUUUGUGGAAACAGCACAAUGGUUGGAACCGACUGCCCGUUUUCCCUCGGCUGUGUUGUGCAGAACAGAGGAAUGUCUUGUUGACUUUGUUUUCAUUGAGGGACACUCUUUGUCCUCCGAGGGAUACAUAAGAGUUCCUAUCUUAGAACAUGUGAAGCCCUGAAAGGUGGCUUUUCCACGGAAGCCGUUAGGCUGAAUCACUGAGCUCCACGCUGUAGAGGAAACAGACCUGGCUGGCUGCCAGGUCUGAGCGGCAGCCAGUGCCCGUAUUUGGGAUUGCGAUGGAGCUGUUUCUGAAGGCCGAGGCCCUCCACGCCCUUUUGAGAGCGUUGAUGCUUUGGUGAUGGCUGUUAGAGACAACUUGUGGUGGACACUUGCCUGGGGUGAUAUGACAGCAGGCUGUGGAUGGAGUUGCCCCCCCUUGGCAGACCCAUUGCCAUGCGUAAAGAAAGCCUGGUGCAUCUUGGAAAUUUAAUUCUCCAAAUGGCCCCAAACUGGAAGCAACCAAAGAUAAUCAAUUAAAGAAAUUUGGAUACAGUUGUAUAGUGGAAAGACGAUUAAGCUAUUUUGUUGAGUAAGGGGUGGGAAGCAGGCUUCAAUACACUAUAUGAGUCUAUUUAUGGAAUAACAGAAUGUGCUGGUUAGUUUUCUGUCAACUUGACACAGCAUGAGUCAUUUGGGAAGAGAGAACCUUAGUUAAAAAGAUACCUUCUUCUUUUGAUUAGUGACUGACACGGAGGGCCCAGGCCACUGUGGGCUGUUACACCCUUGAGCAGGUCCUGGCAGCUGAGUGAGCCAUGGGGAGCAAGGCACUGAGCCACAUUCCUCCAUGGCCUCUGCCCCAGUCCCUGCCUUGGCUUCCCCCGGUGAUGGACUGUGGCUGCGACACGUAAGCCAAACAAACCUUUUCUUCCCGAGCUGCUUCUGGUCAUGGUCCUCAUCCCAGGGAUAAACACCUGACUAGGACACAGAAUCAGAUUGCUUCGACCCAGUGCUAGCCCUGCAUGCACAAAGCCCUGGGUUCCAUCCCCAUCACCAUGGAAAUAACACACAGUGCCACAGGCCUGACAUCCCAGCACUUGGGAGGUGGAGGCAGGAGGUUCCAGUGUUCAAGGUCAUCCUCAGCUACCC
rnacentral:lncRNA from 1 species